UCCUACGGGGGGCAGCAGUGAGGAAUAUUGGUCAAUGGGCUUACGCCUGAACCAGCCAAGUCGCGUGAGGGAAGACUGCCCUAUGGGUUGUAAACCUCUUUUGUCAGGGAGCAACGCCGGCUACGUGUAGCCGGACUGAGAGUACCUGAAGAAAAAGCACCGGCUAACUCCGUGCCAGCAGCCGCGGUAAUACGGAGGAUGCGAGCGUUAUCCGGAUUUAUUGGGUUUAAAGGGUGCGUAGGCGGAAUGCGAAGUCAGCGGUAAAAUCUCGGGGCUCAACCUCGCUACGACGUUGAAAUUG
rnacentral:rRNA from 1 species